GGGCCACUCAUGGUAAUUAAUAUUACCACAAAAAUAUACUAAAUAUAUGUGAUUAUUGCUAAAAAUAGAUUACGUUUCCACUAAUCCUUCUUUUGUUCCCACGAGGGCCCGGGGGAGGGGUUUGAACUACUUUAUAAGAAAUUUAUAUGCAUUAUCUAUUUAAUACUUAAUAGAAUCUAUUUUCCUAUGGACUCAUACUUU
rnacentral:lncRNA from 1 species